UCAGUUCAGAAUACAAUACAGAUUCAAAUACCGUACUUCACCGUUAUCGACAAAAAGAAGGUUGAAUUCACCCAGACACUUUAUAUAUCUUAAACAUGCCUGACAAAACUGUGCUUUGUGAGACCAUGAAAGAAAGGUAAAAUAUGCUAGUAACUGAACGUAACUGAAUGAACAAGUAGAAAACCUCAGAAUUUUUCUAUUCGCAUGCACGAACCAGCUGUUGUUGAUUGUGUUUACAUUUGAAUAAAUCUUCUACGUACGGUAUUAAAGAGCAUGCCGUGUUGACUAAAUGUGAGUAGAGUGUUUGGUAAUAAGAUAUAAAAACGGUUAUCGACAGUCGAAUUUCUAACCCCAGCUGUCAUCUGUAUUCAACUGCUAUUGGGAUAUACGGAGUUCCCGUCUUCAUUAGCCCAGUCGGUGCAGAACAGUAGGACGUUAAACACCAAUAUCACGGAGUGUUUGGUAUUACGCUUUGCAAAACAUCGUUAAUAGCGUGGCCAAGGUCUUUAAAAGGAGUUUCUGUCUUCGUUAGCCCAGUCGGCACAGAACAGUAGGACGUUAAACACCAACAUCACUUCAUUUCGUAAACGGAGUGUUUGGUAUUACGCUUUGCAGAACAUCGUUAAUAGCGUGGCUAAGGUCUUUAAAAGGAGUUCCCGUCUUCAUUAGCCCAGUCGGCACAGAACAGUAGGACGUUAAACACCAUAUCAUUUCAUUUCGUAAAUGGGGAGUUUUGUUUUACGCUUUGGAGAGAACAUAUUUAAUAGCGUGGAUACCGGCUCAAUAAGUAAAAUUCCAUGUGCUAAGUGUAAAAUUAGUGACCUUUUAGUUAUUUAACUGUGAAAAUAAAUCGCCGUUUUGAUGGAUUAGAUGAAUUUCUAACCGUUAUGAUAUCUUAAUUGAACAGUAAUUCGAUUCCAACUUUUAAGGACGUUAAACCCCAUAUCAUUUCAUUUCAUUUCGUAUAUGUGGAGAAGAACAUAGUUAAUAGCCUGGAUACCAAGUGUUAAAAUAGUGAACCGUCGUUAUUUGGUGAACACAUGAUAAAGAUUUGCUCGAAUUCUAACCGCGUUUUAAUUGAACAGCGAUUCGAUUCCAACUUUAAAGGAUCAUAUAAAAACUAUCGUUAGAAACACAUAUUCAAAAAGUGUUAAAAUAGUGUCACUUUAGUUAAUUAACUGUGAACACUGUAGUUUAAAACGCAAAGCAAAUCGCCGUUAUUUGGUAAACACAUUAUAAAGAUUUGCUGGAAUUCUAACAAUGUCUUAAUUGAACAGUAAUUCGAUUCCAACAUUUUUAAGGAUCAUAUUAAACCGAUCAUUCUAAACAAAUAUUUAAAAAGUCAUUUCUGGCAUUUAUAUAAUCAUUUGGCGAGCUCAACAUAAAAAUACGACACAAGGAAGCUAGUUGUAUUCCCAUUGUGGUCGCUGCCAUCAUUAAAGACUGAUUUGUCUCCAAUGGUCAGACUGGCAUCUAAAAGAAAAUCAUCAUUAUAAUUGUGUUAGGACUUUGAAACAUCUUUACAGAGUAUUGUAAGUAAAUGACCAACUUGUGAAAAGGGCCAAUUAAAAUCUCCUUCUCGCUAUUCUCAAGAUCUCUGGCUGCUAGCGACUUUCGUCUCGCUUUUAAUUAAGAAGUAUGACUCGUCUUCAAGGGUUUUGUCGCAUCUCUUGGGCUCAUCACGUGAAUUUAUCGAAGUUCAUCAACGGAAAAAAAUGAGUAGAAUGGGAAUUGAACUUCAGAAGAAAUUACUUUAGGUUGGGUUGGGUUUUUUUUCAUUUUUCAAUGGACGUCUUUCUAGAAACACGCUUGUGUUGUUAUUGACAGAACCUAGACGAAGUAAUACGCUUGAUGAAAUUCGUCACAAUAUCUAGUAACAUUAACUUUUCAUUAUUUGAAAAGAUUGCUCUGAAGACCUUGCGAUAAAACGACCAGUGUGCUCGAGAUAUGGCGGUGAUUAAUCCGUGUGUAGCAUAGUAAAAGGUUAAUCGAAGCCUGAGCCAUGUGAAUGGAAUUAUCAUAUAUUUGGUGGUAUUUUUGUUGUUGAAUUCUAACCUGGAUUUAGGAAACAGAAGAUGGAUGUUGGAGUGGUGCUACUGAUGUUAUUUGAAACGGUUUAUUCGACACAGACAUAUUACAUGGCAGAACGGUGUCCUCGGGGUUUACUCAAAAUGCAGGAUUUGGGAAUAUUUUCAGGACGUCUGCAGCUUACCAAUACUCCAUUAUAUUCUGUACUCAUGGACUGUCGUAUGGUUCUUGUAGCACCACCAGGAUUUCACCUGGCUAUCCAGUUUGAACUCAUGGAUCUAGCAGGCAGCAGUAAAUAUUGUCAUGGGGAUUACAUUCAGCUUCUAGAUGGAGCUUCUAUACGCUCAAUAUCCAUCAGAGGCAUGCCUUUGAAUGAUCGCCUUUGUGGUAAAAAACUUCCAAAAGAGGAACUGACGUCACGUGGUAAUACAGUAACAGUUCGUUUCUAUAGUGAUCUGUCUAUGCAGGAAACGGGAUUUCGUCUCAUUUUCUCAGCGUUUCAUUCAGGGAGGUGUAAUUCAUCGGAGUUUAAAUGUGAGAAUGGGCGGUGCAUGAAUAAAGUAUUAUUAUGUGAUGGAGUAGACAAUUGUGGUGAUGAAUCGGAUAUAUGCGGAUUAUCUGAGGCUGGAAAAGCUGGAUUAGUGCUGCUGUGUAUAGCUGUUGUAUUAUUUGUUAUUUUCUGUGGACUGUGGUGCACGUAUAAAGAACCGCCAAAAGAAGACGUCAACCAAAAGGGGCCUAAUUCAAGGCCUAAUAAAAGGGCAUCCUCAGUGACUAACACCAGUACAUUAACAACGGCAAGUCCGUACUUAAAACGGACUCCUGAUAUAAGUGUUUCACGCAGUACCCCUUCACCAAACGAAAAUUCCAGGGCACCUUUAGUUAAACAUGAUGCUGACGACUUGUGAUGAAGGACAUGGUGGUGAUGGUCGUGGUGGUGAUGGUCAUGGUCUUAGUGGUGGUGAUGAUGUUCUUGGUUCUGAUGGUCAUUGGUCAUGGUGGUGAUGUCUUGAGAAUGGAAGAAAGAUAUGUCAGUGUUUCUAAUUGUGGUUUAUAACUGCUGAUGAUUGUUGCAAAUCUUAUGUGGUAUUGUAUUUGAAAGAAACAACUGAAUCCCAAACAUACGCACAGGAAAAACUGGAUUCACAAAACGUUAUUGUUACAUAUAUGUGACUUGCUAUUACUGUGGACCCCGGCGACUAGAUUCACAAAAUGUUAUUGUUAUUAAUAAGGAACCGCUAAAUCCUCAAAAUGAUUUAUAUAUUAUUGUUAUGGAAAGAGAUGACUGGAUUCACAAAAUAUUAUUGUUUUUAAAAGGAAUCGCUGAAUCCUAAACCUGACAUGUUAUUAUACUAGACAGUGAUGACUGGAUUCACAAAAUGUUAUUGUAUGUUAUUAAAAGGAACCGCUGAAUCAUAAACAUAUCUGACAUAUUAUUGUUAUGUAAUGGGGCGACCAGAUUCACAAAAUGUUAUUGUUUUUAAAAGGAACCGCUGAAUCCUCAAAACGAUUGUUAUAUUGUUGUCAUGGAAAGGGACGACUGGAUUCUUGACAUAUUAUGUGAUAAGAUACUUACUGAUAAAUUAUUGACUGUCUUGGGAUGUGACAAGAACACUGGCAAUCAACGGUUUAUUGAAUACGUCCUUCUAUUGUUCAUUGGUUUUCAACGAACGGGUCAACGUUUGUUUACGUUUUGAAUGUUUGGUAAUGGCUGACAGAGCUGGAUGUAAACUUUAUUUAUGGUGUGCGGCAUUUGUUUUGGUUUUCAGAGAUCGAUCAGUAUUCCACCCUUAUUGUGUACCACUAUAUGGUAUAAUAAUUCGUCGCGUUUUUGGCGAACCGACGAAUCUGAUAUAUUUAAGUAUUGAGAAUUAUGCGCAUACUAAACUUAGGCUGUCUGUCUACAGUUAUCUCCCCUUGAGAACAGACACUAAGCUAGUUGACCGACAUUUUAAAUCCUAAAUCGACGAUUUUAGUCGAAAACACAAAGUAAACGUCGAGAAUUUUGUUAAGGGUUUAUUCUGCUUCCAUUUAAUACAAUUGAAAAAAUGUAUUAAGUCUUUCUAUGUAUGACAGAUGUGAAAACGAGAUGAACCGCAUUACAAAACAGUAUACUAAAUGGCGGCUAUUUAGGGAAGAGAUCUAUUCUCGAAGUAUGAAGUAUAUGGAUCUCUGUGUGCAGAAUGGAGCCUAACUAGACACACACACGCGGAAUGAAUUAUACGUUCUGUUGUUAUCUCUGUGGCCAUCAAAUAAUAACGUUUAUGUAAAUGGCGUUCGGUGUCCUGAUGUAUAUCUAUCAACUAUUAAAUCACAAAUGAAUGUUAUUAUUUGAUGUCCACAGAUAUAACAACAGAACGCAAAUUUCAGACACAUAAUUCUCAAUACUUAUAUAUAUGAAGAGUCCAGGGGAAGAACGAUCCAAGUAACAUUUUUCUCUUUUCGCAUAAAAGGCAAAACAGACUUUUGGACGAGAAUGCUUGACGGAACAGAACAACAAGUGGGUUUAAUUACAACUUCAAAAUGAUGUUUAAUACGAAUCAUAAUUACCAGUACAACAACUGACUUGCACUUUUCAGCCAUAUUAAGGUCAAAUAAAGGAUACGAUAGACUUGUAUUUGUCCGGGAGGCCAUUUCAGAAGGGCCUUGGUUCGAUGUGACUCCGAUCUUUUUUACCUGAAAUUGAUUGUUCCACAGAAAGCUUGUGCAAUUUGCUACCAGAUGGUGCUAUUAACUGGGGUUCGUUGAAAAGGUGACUUAGGUCGUUCUUCCUCGGGGCUCUUCAUAUCAGAUUGGUCGGUUCGAUAGAAACGCGACGAAUUAUUACAUAUAAUUUACCACUUCCUCCGUUACAAACCCAGUGCCUAUAGGAUUUGCCUUAAUACAACUACUAUGCAGUUGUUCUACGGUAUGGAUAAUUGUAUUUUGGAAGAGAGUCUGUUUCCCACUGGCUCAGGAGGUUUAGCUUGUAGUGAGUGAGCUCAGGAGAUUUCCUUUCAGGUGGAUGCACUAACGACAACCGUAUGAUUCAAGCCCUGCUUUAUGGAGAUAUAUACUAACUGUUGCCAACUCAGUUCUUUCAGAUAAUAUCAAGAUUCCAUGGAACUGAGACAACUGUGCACUAUUACGGAAUUCGUUGUGAUUUUUAAAGUAUAUUUGUUCUUUAACAACUUAAUAAAGAAAAUUCUUUGAAAUAUUUUAAUCACGCAACGCGACAUUGUAUUCAAACUUUUAUAGAUAACCCUCACUUAACGAAAGAAGAUUAUCUACAUAGAGAAUGGCGGAGAAAUUUCAUCGGAAAUGGAAUAUAACCAAUCGGAUUAAAAUACAGAUCUAUAUUUCGUUUCGGUUUUUUUUAUACUUUCGACGGCCUACACUACACGAAGAUCCGACCGGUUGUAGUGUAAGGUCGGGUCAGGGGUCAUAGAGAGGAUUUUGACCCUAUGACGUCAGACAUUGAUUAUUCAAUCAGCGUUGACGUUUCUAGUGGUUUACGUAAAGUUCCGUGCACCCCAUGCCAAAAAACACGCGCCGUAACAGACCGUUUCAUUGGCUAAUCUCUCACAUCAUCCAGAACGCGGGUUAUAUAACAACUCUUCAAGAUCCUAGUGUAGUAAAGACAAGUAAAACGAAAUUUUGAACUAUUAAAACGAAACGAAAUAGGAUCUGUGCUUUAAUCAGAUUGGAAUACAACCGUGUUCGGAUUAUUAACACUGCUGCACGAGCUAUGUCAAUAGCUAUAUACAUGUAUAUAUACUUUAAUAAUUUUAUUUAUUAUUGAUUGAUUAUUGAUUAUUGAUAUAUAACAACGAUUAAAGAAAUGCACAUGCAAUGCAUUGAUUCAUUUUAUUUAUUACACCAAUGUAUUUAAUGGUCCCUUUUCACAUUUUCACAUCCGUGCUUUGUUAUGUUUUAAUUAUGGAAAUGUUAAUGUACAUUUUUUUUUUUAUUACUUCAUAAAAUUUGAAACAUG